rnacentral:rRNA from 1 species
ACCUGAGUAAAGUGGCGCACGGGUGAGUAACACGUGAAUGAUCUACCUCCGAGUGGGGAAUAACUGAGAGAAAUCUUAGCUAAUACCGCAUAACACUUACGAGUCAAAGCAGCAAUGCGCUUGGAGAGGAGUUCGCGGCCGAUUAGUUAGUUGGCGGGGUAAUGGCCCACCAAGACGAUGAUCGGUAUCCGGCCUGAGAGGGCGCACGGACACACUGGAACUGAAACACGGUCCAGACUCCUACGGGAGGCAGCAGUGGGGAAUUUUGCGCAAUGGGGGAAACCCUGACGCAGCAACGCCGCGUGGAGGAUGAAAUAUCUUGGUAUGUAAACUCCUUUCGACGGGGAAGAUUAUGACGGUACCCAUAGAAGAAGCCCCGGCUAACUUCGUGCCAGCAGCCGCGGUAAUACGAGGGGGGCAAGCGUUGUUCGGAUUUAUUGGGCGUAAAGGGUGCGUAGGCGGUUUGGCAAGUCUGAUGUGAAAUCUAUGGGCUCAACCCAUAGUCUGCAUCAGAAACUGCCGGGCUUGAGUAUGGGAGAGGUGAGUGGAAUUUCCGGUGUAGCGGUGAAAUGCGUAGAUAUCGGAAGGAACACCUGUGGCGAAAGCGGCUCACUGGACCAUAACUGACGCUGAUGCACGAAAGCUAGGGGAGCAAACAGGAUUAGAUACCCUGGUAGUCCUAGCCCUAAACGAUGAUUUGCUGGGUGUGGCAGG